rnacentral:rRNA from 1 species
UUAAGUUAGUGGCGGACGGGUGAGUAACGCGUGGGUAACCUGCCGUAUACCGGGGGAUAACACCUGGAAACAGGUGCUAAUACCGCAUAAGCGCACGGGACCGCAUGGUCCAGUGUGAAAAACCGAGGUGGUAUGCGAUGGACCCGCGUCUGAUUAGCCAGUUGGCAGGGUAACGGCCUACCAAAGCGACGAUCAGUAGCCGGCCUGAGAGGGUGGACGGCCACAUUGGGACUGAGACACGGCCCAAACUCCUACGGAAGGCAGCAG